rnacentral:rRNA from 1 species
UACGUAGGGUGCAAGCGUUGUCCGGAAUUAUUGGGCGUAAAGAGCUCGUAGGCGGCUUGUUGCGUCGGCUGUGAAAUCCCGGGGCUUAACUCCGGGCGUGCAGCCGAUACGGGCAGGCUAGAGUCCGGUAGGGGAGACUGGAAUUCCUGGUGUAGCGGUGAAAUGCGCAGAUAUCAGGAGGAACACCGGUGGCGAAGGCGGUUCUCUGGGCAUUACCUGACGCUGAGGAGCGAAAGUGUGGGGAGCGAACAGG